rnacentral:tRNA from 1 species
GGGCGAGUGGCGGAAUUGGUAUACGCGUUUGACUUAAAAUCAAAUGACCAAAAGUCUUGAGGGUUCAAGUCCCUCCUCGCCCACCA